ACGCUGGCGGCAGGCCUAACACAUGCAAGUCGAGCGGUAGCACAGGAGAGCUUGCUCUCUGGGUGACGAGCGGCGGACGGGUGAGUAAUGUCUGGGAAACUGCCUGAUGGAGGGGGAUAACUACUGGAAACGGUAGCUAAUACCGCAUGACCUCGCAAGAGCAAAGUGGGGGACCUUCGGGCCUCACGCCAUCGGAUGUGCCCAGAUGGGAUUAGCUAGUAGGUGGGGUAAUGGCUCACCUAGGCGACGAUCCCUAGCUGGUCUGAGAGGAUGACCAGCCACACUGGAACUGAGACACGGUCCAGACUCCUACGGGAGGCAGCAGUGGGGAAUAUUGCACAAUGGGCGCAAGCCUGAUGCAGCCAUGCCGCGUGUGUGAAGAAGGCCUUAGGGUUGUAAAGCACUUUCAGCGAGGAGGAAGGCGCUGCAGUUAAUAGCUGCAGCGAUUGACGUUACUCGCAGAAGAAGCACCGGCUAACUCCGUGCCAGCAGCCGCGGUAAUACGGAGGGUGCAAGCGUUAAUCGGAAUUACUGGGCGUAAAGCGCACGCAGGCGGUUUGUUAAGUCAGAUGUGAAAUCCCCGAGCUUAACUUGGGAACUGCAUUUGAAACUGGCAAGCCAGAGUCUUGUAGAGGGGGGUAGAAUUCCAGGUGUAGCGGUGAAAUGCGUAGAGAUCUGGAGGAAUACCGGUGGCGAAGGCGGCCCCCUGGACAAAGACUGACGCUCAGGUGCGAAAGCGUGGGGAGCAAAC
rnacentral:rRNA from 1 species